rnacentral:rRNA from 1 species
AAUCUAUUUAGGUAGAGCGUCACGUAUCAUCAUCGGGGGUAGAGCACUGGAUGGGCUAGGGGGUCCCAACGACUUACCAAACCUAACCAAACUCCGAAUACCGAGGAGUACUAGAUGGCAGACAGACGGCGGAUGCUAACGUCCGUCGUCGAGAGGGCAACAACCCAGACCGCCAGCUAAGGCCCCCAAAUACCAGUUAAGUGGG